UUUCAUGAAUGAGUCUUUUCCCUUUCAUGGCUGAAGAAGCAGCAUCUCUUAUGAUGAGGGUUAGGGUUUGGGUUACCCUGAGGGAUAGGGUAAGGGUUAGGUCAUGCUUGCACGCCCCGUUUGGCAAAGGAGGAAGGUCACAGCUGACCUCCGCCAGCCUCGUUGCAGAAGAGUGUUCAGGCAUGCACCCUGCCUUCCCUCCACAAGGGAGUAGUGAUGCCACUACUUAAUGUGUUGUUUUAUGAAUGGCUCUUUUCACUUUCACAGCUGAAGAAGCAGGCAUUUCUUAAGGUAAGGGUUAUGGUUAGGAUUGCCAUUCAUGGUUAGGGUAAGGGAUAGGCCAUGCCUGCACCCUCCCUUGGAGUGGGAGGGCGUUCACACAUGCUCCACGCCCCCCCCCCCAUCUUGGGAGGGUGUUCACCAAUAGGACCUGGCCCCCUUCAUGGGGGGGAGGGUGUUGACGUGUGCACCUGCACCCCUCUGGUGUGUGAGGGUGUUCAUCCAUUGGCACCACGACCCUAGGCGAGGGAGGGUGUUUGCCCAUGCACCCUGCCCUCCUUGGUGCGGGAGGGUGUUCACGCAUGCACAUGCACAGUCCCUCCUCGGCCUGGGAGGGUGUUCAGGUAUGUGCAGGAACCCGCCCUCUGGAGUGGGAGGUGGUUCACGCAUGUGCCCUGUCCCCCUGAGGCACUGGAGGGGGUCACCUGUGCACAGUGCCACCACUCAGCAAGGGAGUAGUGAUGCCACUAGUAAAUCUGACGUUUCACGGGCGGCUGUUUUCACUUUCACAGUUGAAGAAUCAUGCAUCUUUUAAGGUAAGGGGUAGGGUUUGCAUUACAGUUAGGGGUUAAGGUAAGGGUUAGGUCAUGCUUGCUCCCCCCUUCAGCACGGGAAGUUUUCACGCAUUACCCCACUAUCGUCAGCACAGGAGAGUGUUCACCCUUUUGCCCUGCCCCCCCAGAGUGGUAAAAUAUUGAAGCAUGUGCUCUGCUCCACUUCCGCUGGGUAGGACUUUCAUGCAUGCAUAGAAUAGAUCCCCCCCUUUGGGACAGAUUGUUCACACAUGUGCACCACCACCCCUCGGUGCGGGAGGGUGUUCACUCAUGGGCACACCCCACCUCUGCAGGGGAGAUGUCUCAUGCAUGUGUCUUGCCCACCUCAGCAUGGGAGGGUUUUUACGCAUGCGCACAUCCCCCCCUUGGUGUGGGAGGAGGUCACCCAUGCGGAGCGCCAUCCUUCAAUGAGGGAAUAGUAAUGCCACUAUUAAAUGUGACGUUUCAUGAAUGGUUCUUUUCACUUUCACAGCUGAAGUAGCAGACAACUCUUAAGCUGAAGAAGCACGCAUCACUUAAGCUGAAGAAACACGCAUCUCUUAAGGCUCACAUCUUCUCUCUACCUCUAUACUCCAAGUUCCUGGCUGGCACUGGAAUUACACCCUUAGCAUGGGCAUCAUAACCUCCAGGUAGAACCAGACUGGAAGGCUGGAGGAAAAACCAAGCGGCACUUGGAGAUCUUGGUGGAUUGGAGAUUUAUUUAACACCGGCGGGCUCAGAGGAGACUGUUUCUCCAAAAAUCUGAGUGCUGAAUGCCAGUGGGGAGGGUAAUUUAUAGUCAUCAGCUUCCACAUCUGUGGGGGCUUUCCCGUGAGCAGCAAAUAAAGGAAGAAAAACACAGAGGAGGGGUCUCCAAGCCAGAGACCAGAGUCUGUUUUAGCCCCAUCGGCCAUCUUUGGCAUACUUUAUUCACUUCCGCAACAAUACAAAUUUUAGAGCUGUUUUUUUUCUACUUACAUGAAAAUGCCAUUGGAACCUUGAUAGAGAUUGCAUUGACAUACAGAUGGCUUCAGGUACUAUGGAUAUUUCAAUGAUAUUAAUUCUUCUGAUCCAUGAACAUAGGAUAUAUUUUCAUUUGUUUCUGUCUUCAUUAAUUUUUAUCAAAGUUUUAUAAGUUUCUGUGUACAGCUCACUGUCUCCAGAAGUGUGGGUGCUACUGGGUCCUAUAGAAUAUGUAGAUCCUUCAAAUGACCCCAGUCUUAUUCGUGUUGUGGCCCCUGUGGCCUAUAGAGGAAAUGGGGGGAAAUUUCCUCUUAUGCCUAAUAUAGAGACAGGUGUAGUUGGGGAAACCCACACAAAGGAACUCAAGUUGCUAUUGAACCCAGUACUGACACCAUCUAGAUGGAAACAGGAACAAGCUAAGCAGUCACUGGGCUGAACUCAGAGGGGUUUCACUGGUGAUCACUCAUGAGCUCUAGUAAUUAACCCUUUGCACUGACAGGUAGACUGUUCUAAAGAGAUUAACCUAGAAUUUAGACACUGGGAAGCCAAAGAGCAGAUUAUCAUAAGUAAGCCCUGUGUUAUCAGGAUAUGGUAUCAGGACAUUUGGGCUCACCUGCAAGAGCCUGACGUGAUCCUCACUGUUUUCCAAGACCUGGCUCAUAAAGCACUGGUUGGUAGAAAGGAAAAAUGGAAUAUUAAAGCAUCAUAUUAAAUUAUUAAUGGGGGAAACCACCUUGGCCCGGUGUACUAAUGUGCUGUCACAGGCUUUAAUGCAUUUGAAUGAUCAAACGUUAUGGUCCAUUGGCUCCAUAUGGCAGACUGGGGACUCCUGCUGAGCCAUCCAAUACUAUAAAGGUAUAGAAGUCUAGGGAGAUAAGUUAUGGCCCCCACUCUCACUGUGGAUUAAUAUGCUAUGCUGCUGAGAACACCAAAAUGUGUUAUCUACUGGAAUUUGCCAUGGGAUGUCCCAUAGGAUAGGUGAGUUACUUUGUACCCCUGGGUAAGGGGGGUCUACUCAAUCUCUACUGGGAUCCUGUUGUUCUGCUGAAAGUCAGACCUGUGGAAAUUCACUAUACCUGUAACGGAGCAUACCACAUCGAAAGAGGGGGAGAACAUGGGGGUCCUGGUCUGGCAUAUUCUGUCCCAGUCUAUCUCCUCAUGGCUGACAGUGCUGCAUCCCCUUGCCAACAUGUAUGGCAUGCACAACUUAAGUCCUAAAGCUGCUGGUGUCUCUCUCCUUCAAAGCCAUAAUGCACUGACAACCCCUGGCAAUCAGGAGGCUGAUCCCUAGCCUGGGUAUACGCCCUAGCAACUGACUCUGCAGUACAUACAGCAGAUUAAGUGCAACUACUGUAGAGCCUUGGAAUGGAUGGAAUGGCAUAUUGCCAGGAUUUGCCCUUAAAAUACAGUGACUUGGUAAAUGUAGGAACAGCAUGUACUAUGUUUCUUUCUUUCUUUCUUUUUCUUUCUUUUCUGGUGGAGGCUUUGUGAUUUCUCUAUAUAAUAAGAUCAUGUAAUUUGCAAAUGGGUGAUUUUACUUCUUCCUUCCUGAUUUGUAAGUUUUUUAUUUCUUUUUCUUGCCUGAUUGUUAUGGUAGGACUUCCAAUACUACGCUGAAUAGAAGUGGUGAGAGUGGACAGCCUUGUCUUGCUCCUGAUCUUAUAGCAAAAGCUUUCAGCUUUGACUACUGAAUGUGAUAUUCAGUGUGGGCUUGUCAUAAAUGGCCUUUAUUAUGUGGAAGUAAUCUCCUUUUAUACAAAACUUAUUGAGAGUUUUGAAUUUUAAGUUCUUUUGCAUCUAAGUCCUCCAAGUCCCUGGGCAAGUGCUCAAAUGUGGCCUGGGUAAGAAAACACUGACAUCAGCAGCCAAGGUGACCUUGUGUUGUGCUUUUAUUCUGUGAAUGAACUGGCACUAAAUGCUCUCCCUCCAUAAUUCUUCCUAACCCCAUUGGAGAAGACUCUGGGGCCAGAUUCUCCCUUCUGGUUCCAAGAUCCCUGGGUGACUCCUUAUGCCCAUACAAAAACUAGGACAAAGAGGUCAGGGGGGACACUCCUGUGGCCCAGUUGUCCAUCUCUGCCAGGCUUUCCCAUGCCCUGAUGGAGGUUAAAGCCAGGGCCAGAGCUAUUGAGGUGGAUGGGGAAGCUGGAAAGAACUGAAAGCAGCCCAGGUUGGUGAUUCCACUUGUUUGCAAGAUCGUGGCUCACUGCUCCAUCCACCAUCCCAUGGAUCUGCUGACUUUUCUGCCCCUGGAUGCUGCUAUUGCUUCCAGACCCCAGCCUGCACCAGCACAGGUGAGUGAGGGUUCUGCCCUUUGGGGACUCAUGAGUCCUGUAGGACUCCCCCAGCUCUUUCCAGGGGUUCCAAGUCCUGCAUUCCUUCCAUGGUGCCCAGGAGCUCUGUUCCUCAGCCCUUCAUAGGGGCUCCAACUCAUGCACCUCUCUCAGGAACCAGGAAUCCCUCAGCCUUGCCAGGGGCCCAGAGCCCCCCGCC